AGCAAGUGUCCCGCUCGGCGCUCAUGUGUUCUUACAGGAGGGAUUUCUAAAUCACCUGGCCAGGGCCUCGCAGACCCUCUAAAACAGAGCUCAGGAAGGUGGGAGAUGACAUCCCAAGGCCAGCAAGCCGGAAUCCCACUUGCCUGCUGAUGAAGACACACGGCUGCCAUUCAAAGACCAAACCCCAGGCCUGAUCUUCACCUCCACUGAUAGCAGCAGACUUCUUAGGGGCUUACCCAGUGAGGAUGAGCCUGGAAUCUGGCUCAGUGAGUUUCUGUACAAACCAAACUCUGCAGUAGCACCUCCCAGCUCUGCUUCUUGAGACAUCUGUCUGUACACAAAUAUCACAUUUCCUGUCUGUGCUACUCUGUUCCGUCUGGGAUCAAAAAUGGAGGCAUCCAAGAGCCAAAAAGAUAGCUGCUACUUGUGUUAUUUCCCAUCUGACCAGAAGCUGGAUGAUCGUGUACUCGAAAACACACAUGACAACGCCCGUUGUUGCAAGGUUUCCUGUCCCAUUUUGCAGACUCAGGAGGCUUAGAUAAUUCAGGUUUCACCGGAGCAGAGCAGAACAGUCAGAUGAAGGAGGAGCAGGUCUGAUGACACAAACGAAUGAACUUCUAUAUAAAACUUGAGGUAGAACAUUGCUUUCAAGGUUUGGAAGUGCUUGACAUCAGAAUGACGACGACACAAAAAAAAGGACAACACCAUGGCGGAUAUGGAGCAUGACUUCUGAGGUAGUACCAAGCUUAUGCAGACCAAGUGCUACGCUACUUGUUUUGAAAACAAAGGAAGACACAGAUAUUUGCUGCUUCC